rnacentral:rRNA from 1 species
GACGAACGCUGGCGGCGUGCCUAAUACAUGCAAGUUGAGCGCUGAAGGUUGGUACUUGUACCAACUGGAUGAGCAGCGAACGGGUGAGUAACGCGUGGGGAAUCUGCCUUUGAGCGGGGGACAACAUUUGGAAACGAAUGCUAAUACCGCAUAAAAACUUUAAACACAAGUUUUAAGUUUGAAAGAUGCAAUUGCAUCACUCAAAGAUGAUCCCGCGUUGUAUUAGCUAGUUGGUGAGGUAAAGGCCCACCAAGGCGAUGAUACAUAGCCGACCUGAGAGGGUGAUCGGCCACAUUGGGACUGGGACACGGCCCAAACUCCUGCGGGAGGCAGCAGUAGGGAAUCUUCGGCAAUGGACGGAAGUCUGACCGAGCAACGCCGCGUGAGUGAAGAAGGUUUUCGGAUCGUGAAACUCUGUUGGUAGAGAAGAACGUUGGUGAGAGUGGAAAGCUCAUCAAGUGACGGUAACUACACAGAAAGGGACGGCUAACUACGUG